CUUUGUUUCGUGUUCUGUUCUGUUUGUUUCCUGUCUUCAUGUGAUUGGUCCGGUUGGUUUUUCUGUUGCCUGUCCAAUCCGAAGCGGAGCUGGGUGGAGCCGUUCCUGUGUCCUAUCAGUCACCUGCCUGCACCCCUGCUCCUCACCUGCCUCCAAUCGCUCAUCACUGCCCGUGGAUAGUUAAGACCAGCUCUCCCUUUCCACCAUCACCAGAUUAUUUCGUCUACUCUGGUUCCCCUCUAAGCACCUGUCUGCCCUGCUCAGCUCUGUCUCUGGAUUGGACUUGAUAUUCCCCAGCUUUUGGAGUUUGCUUUUGUGUUUUGGAUUCUUCGCUCUGGACAUCUCCCCUUAGACGUUUGCACUCACCUGCUGCCUGGUCAUUUGCCUGUUUCGUUUCCUGUUCUUACAAACUAUUUCCAUUGUGUUUUUGUACUAUUUACUGAAUAUCUGCACUAAAGACUUUAUUAAUGAUUUAA